AAGGGUUGGCAGGGGACCAGAGAAUAGAGGAAGCAUUGUAGGUUCUAGAGUGGAGAAGGGACCAUCCAAAAUGGAGUUUGAAAGAGAAUUCUGGCCUUUGUGUUUAGAGUCUGGAAUUGUUAAGAGUCUGAAGGCACAGAAUAAGACUGCAGCUAGAGCAAUUUAGGCGCCAUAGUUUGUCAAAACAGGUAAGGGGAAUAAAGGGGAUGACACAAUCAGAAGAAUUCACCUGAAAAGGAUACAGCCUCCUCCUGGAAGUCAGAGGAGUAAAUAGGGAAUUGGAAAUUAAUUCCUUAUUUCUGUGCAUGCACAGAAUCUGGGCCCAGGUGACUUAUGGAACCUUUAUAGAGACCAAGGUGACUGACAUUCAUGGGAAAGGGGGUAGAGGGGCAAUAACUGACUGUUCGUCAAAAAUUAUUAGACGAGUGUGUCCACGACACCAGGAGAUAUGUUGAAUCAUGGACAGGUACCAGCAUAUCCACUAAGCUCUAUAUAUGUUGAUGGUGCAAGAUCCAAGUGGGAUGGAACAACAAAUUCCUGCUCAUCCUCCUGCUCAAUAAUACAUGUGCUCAGAAUCUGUUCAUAAUGCAUGGUGAGAUGGGAUCUCACUGUGCUGCCCAGGCUGGUCUCGAACUGCUGGACUCAAGUAAUCCUCCCAUCUUGGCCUCCCAAAGUGCUGGGAUUAUAGUGGACAACCUUGAAUGCACUGGUACUUUGUACCCUGACCUCUACUGUAAUGAAAACUCAACUUGGGCAAGGAAGUGAAAUUCUCCAAAGUCCUAGCACUUUGGGAGGCUGAAGCAGGCGGAUUACUUGAGGCCAGGAGUUCGAGACCAGCCUGGCCAACAUGGUGAAACCCCGUCUCUACUAAAAAUACAAAAAAUUAGCCAGGCUUGGUGGCACACGCCUAUGGUUCCAGCUACUCGGGAGGCUGAGGCAGGAGAAUUGCUUGAACCCAGGAGGCGGAGGUUGCAGUGAGCCAAGGUUGUGCAACUGUACUCCAGCCUGGGUGACAGAGCGAGAUUGCCUCAAAAAAAAAAAA
rnacentral:antisense_RNA from 1 species